rnacentral:rRNA from 1 species
CACGUAGGGAGCAAGCGUUGUCCGGAUUUAUUGGGCGUAAAGAGCUCGUAGGCUGUUCGAUAAGUCGGGUGUGAAACCUCCAGGCUCAACCUGGAGACGCCACCCGAUACUGUCAUGACUAGAGUCCGGUAGGGGAGCGUGGAAUUCCUGGUGUAGCGGUGGAAUGCGCAGAUAUCGGGAGGAACACCAGUGGCGAAGGCGGUUACCUGGAGCUUUGCUGACGCUGAUGCGCGAAAGCGUGGGGAGCGAGUCCGG